rnacentral:piRNA from 1 species
AAAGUGAACCGAGGAAAAGCAGGU